rnacentral:pre_miRNA from 1 species
AAUACAUAGGUUUCCGUGUCCAACAUUUGACCACCCGUCUUAUUUGAAAAAAAUAUAAAACAAAUUAAAAAAAUAAGUCACGCAUAAAGUAUUAAUUAUGUUUUAUCAUCUAACAACAAUAAAAAUACUAAUUAUAAAAAAAAUUUAUAUAAGACAUACAGUCAAACGUUGAACACGGAAACCCAGGGUUUGUCUUUUU